rnacentral:misc_RNA from 1 species
GAUGAAGAACGCAGCGAAAUGCGAUACGUAAUGUGAAUUGCAGAAUUCAGUGAAUCAUCGAGUCUUUGAACGCACAUUGCGCCCCCUGGUAUUCCGGGGGGCAUGCCCGUCCGAGCGUCAUUGCUGCCCUCAAGCACGGCUUGUGUGUUGGGCCUCCGUCCUCCUCCCGGGGGACGGGCCCGAAAGGCAGCGGCGGCACCGCGUCCGGUCCUCGAGCGUAUGGGGCUUCGUCACCCGCUCUUGUAGGCCCGGCCGGCGCUUGCCGACACAUCAAUCUUUUUUCCAGGUUGACCUCGGAUCAGGUAGGGAUACCCGCUGAACUUAAGCAUAUCAAUAAGCGGAGGA